UGUUCUAACUACUCUGCGGUCAGUGGUUAGCAUCGGUUUCUCAUCAAAGAACAGACAUUUAUUCAUAAAACAUACAUGCAAACUAGCCACUGUUAACUGAACACACGCGCUAUCAAAAUGACAGAUGCUUAACAUGGAGCCCUGCUUCCAGAGACAAUUUCCAACUGCCGUCACAAGAUGGCAGUAAUUUAAAGGAUUAAUAGCUGCUGUUUGCCCUGAAAUGAGAGCCAAGGCGGAGGAAUGUGUGGCGGAACACCAGCAGAAAUUUGAUGAAGCUCACCUCAGAGGUGGAACACAGGUGAAGGAGGACACUUUUAACGCGUGUUUGUGCGUUCAGGCGGUGUGAGCGAGCUAAAGCGACAGCCCGCUGACCAAACUCCUGCCGCUGUCGCCAUCGCCGCCACUGAAUACCAAAGAGCAGCUCCCACUGAGCGUAAACACAGGGCGCAGCAGGGCCGUGACAGAUGACGACAGCGCUGCUGCUCCUGAGCACCUCCGGCAUCAGACGCUGAACGUCAGUGGAGGGAAGAUCAUUACAGGCAGAAGGCAGGAAAGGAGACAAUAUGGAGACGGGAGGAGCAGGGUGAAGCGCUCUAACAGCCUCACCACAGGAUGCUGGCCUCGGAGGCGGAGUCAGCCCGUCAUGCAAAGUCGACUCCCCUGAGUCUGCUGUGGAAGGUGGAGGCAGUCAACUCCUCUCCUCUCAACUCUUCUUACUGUGGUUUCAAGCUGGUGCAGUGACUCUGUGUACCUCCACCCGGGCCGCUGCCCCUUUUUCCCCUCCCCAGGAUCCGUUCAUGGACUCUUGUAUCUAGCCAUAGCGCACAGUUUGAGCUUCAUGUUUCAUAGUUAUGCCUCAUAGUUCAUAGUUUUCUCCUUCAUAGUUCACA